rnacentral:misc_RNA from 1 species
GGAAGUAAAAGUCUAACAAGGUUUCCGUAGGUGAACCUGCGGAAGGAUCAUUCGUAAUAAAGUGUUUUAUGGCACUUUUUAAAAAUCCAUAUCCACCUUGUGUGCAAUGUUAGAUCUCGUCAAUCUUGGCGAGAUUUUUAUACAUCAACUCAUUCUUUAACUAAUUUGUCUGAAAAAUAUUAUGAAUACUUAAUUCAAAAUACAACUUUCAACAACGGAUCUCUUGGCUCUC